rnacentral:misc_RNA from 1 species
AAGUCGUAACAAGGUAUCCGUAGGUGAACCUGCGGAUGGAUCAUUAAAGAAGGCAAUAGGAGUCAUCCUGUUACUUACCUUUUGUGGUGUAGAAAGAGUCGUUGUAGGGGUGCGAGUCGUCGUCGUCGUCGUUGUCAUCAUCGUCGUCGUCGUCGCCGCCGCAUCUCUCACCAUAAACCUUUUUAAAUAUUUAUCAUAACCAACUAAAGUAACCUUGCGGAUCAUUAUCCAUGCUUUUGCGUGGAUAAACGGUCAUCAAGUAAAACAAAACAUAAUCAAAUACAACUGCUAGCAACGGAUCACUCGGCUCUC